UACGGAGGGAGCUAGCGUUGUUCGGAAUUACUGGGCGUAAAGCGCGCGUAGGCGGUUUUGUAAGUUAGAGGUGAAAGCCCGGGGCUCAACCCCGGAAUUGCCUUUAAGACUGCAUCGCUUGAAUCCGGGAGAGGUGAGUGGAAUUCCGGGUGUAGAGGUGAAAUUCGUAGAUAUUCGGAAGAACACCAGUGGCGAAGGCGGCUCACUGGACCGGUAUUGACGCUGAGGUGCGAAAGCGUGGGGAGCAAACAGG
rnacentral:rRNA from 1 species